rnacentral:lncRNA from 1 species
ACACCCAGCCCUGGGCAGGCUCCGGCGGAGAGCGCCAAGAAUCAGCCUGUCCCCGGGGCUGCGCGGGUUGCACUCUCUGCUCACGGCCCCCGUCCCUCCAGCCAGCUCUCUUCCGGCUUCGUGUCCUGGGCCGGCCUGAAAGACGGGAGCAUGGGACACACACGCUCACCGGAACUCACGGCACGCGUCCCUGCGCAGCCCCGCUGCUCUCUACUCCCUCUGGCCAAGCUCGCCCUGGACCUCGGAGCCGCCCAACCUCAGUCCAACUCCUCCUCCCUGCUCUCCCGGUGGUUGGGCAAUCAAGUUCCAUGCAUAAUGAGCAGUUUAAAACCACGAAGGAGAAAGGGUGACAGACACAAGGAUUGUGGCAGACAGGCCCCGUUGUUGAUUGAAUAUGUGAAUGCAGACCCAUGGAUACAUAGAGCCUACUCUGGAUGUGUAUAUGUAGACCAUGUAUAUUGCUGCUCCCUGGGGUGGGGUCCUGGAGUGAGGAUGAAACAGAAGACGGAGCCCCAGCUGACCUGCCUGCGGGGAAAGCACAAGAAUAUAAAUAAACAUGUCAUCUUUCCUGA